CCACACCGCCCGUCACACCAUGGGAGUCAGUUGCUCUAGAAGUCGGUGCACCAACCUCGUGAGGUAGCCGCCUAAGAGUNACUGGUAACUGGGGUG
rnacentral:rRNA from 1 species